UCCCUAAGCAUCAAUUUCUGCUCUCCUGUCACAGUGGAGGAUCAGUUUGUGCUGCUUUUCUUCCGGGUGCCUUUCCUGGUUGCCAAGGAGACAGUGGCCUGCCUUUGCCUUACCAGCCAGGCUCUUGGGCCUGAUUCUUCAAAGCAGCAGCCGGGGGAUGUGUUUUCUCUCGAGCAUGAACCUGAGGAAGCUACCUCCGAGCACCGUGUGACUGAUCCGAUUACAAGCCAGCAUCCUGAGAUGCCUGAUGGUUGCAGUGGCAACUUCAGCACCUCCCUCCCCCUGCUGCCAUGCUCUCCGUUGUGCGGGCUCAGCUGCCUGGGGAAUUGCAUGUGUACCCUGAGAACUGAGAAAAUCCCUACUGAGGAAGUAGAAGCAGAAGUUUACCAAAGUCCUAAAGAAGAAGAUACUGAUUCCUAGCUGCUGCUGAAAUUGGUCUUCAUCCUUUCUCAUCUAGAAAUCAGUAAUA
rnacentral:lncRNA from 1 species